CUCAAACCCAGGAGAGUGUGGCUGGAGGAUCACCGGCGGAAGUGCCCAACGAUCCAGGGAAGAUGUUUAUAGGAGGGCUUAGCUGGCAAACUAGUCCAGCCAGUCGGUGAUGGAGGAUGCGAUGUGAAACGUCCGACAUUAACUGCCAUUCGCGGAAUUAGAUCCAGACCGUCAAUACUGAAACCAAGAUACAACAACGACGCUGCAAAGAUCAAAGUUCAUGUAAAGCAAACAAUGAUAAAAACUUUGGUUUGUACCUGAAAGAAAACGCGUCUUCGUUGUGGGGACAAUCUGUUCGGGAAAGAAGGAAGAAUUCGCUUAUUACUCCGAGAGAACAACGAAAUAUGGGGAGCACCCGCUGAGGGCACCUCUAGAGUUACUGACGACUUUCA